rnacentral:rRNA from 1 species
AGGAUUCCCCUAGUAACGGCGAGUGAAGCGGGAAGAGCACAAAUUUAAAAUCUACCUGGUUUUCAGGUCGAGUUGUAAUUUGAAGAUACGUUUUUGACGUUCCGGGUUGGACUAAAUCCUUUGGGAUAAGGUAUCAUGGAGGGUGAGAAUCCCGUAUAUACCAACCAUAGGGAUGUUAUUUAAUACNUUUCUAAGAGUCGAGUUGUUUGGGAAUGCAGCUCUAAAUGGGUGGUAAAUUUCACCUAAUGCUAAAUAUAAGCGAGAGACCGAUAGCGAACAAGUACAGUGAUGGAAAGAUGAAAAGAACUUUGAAAAGAGAGUUAAAUAGUACGUGAAAUUGUUGAAAGGGAAACGAUUGAAGUCAGUCAUGCCNGUGGGAAUCAACUUAGRGGAAACUCURAGUGCACUUCUUCGCUUGGCAGGUCAACGUCGAUUUUGGAUGUCAUAAAAUGAUUGGGGGAAGGUAGCUCCUUCGGGAGUGUUAUAGCCCUUGGUAGAUGUGAUGUCUGGGAUCGAGGAUUGCAAUGGAUACCCUUUGGRGCUAGCCGCCUGAUCUCUAAUUGGUAUUGGGUUACGGAUAGCAUGCUGACCGUGAUCUAAUUAUUGGUUAAAAGGUUAGAGCGUGCAUAAAUUCAUUAAGGACGUUGACCUAAUGGCUUUAAACNACCCG